rnacentral:lncRNA from 1 species
UCUCCAUUUCUAAUAUCUGAACACACAAGGAAACUAUAAUCUCCUCCUUCACCUUAUCGAUCUCUUCCUUAUAGCAAUUCAGUCAUACCAAUAAUUGCUAUUUCUACCAAUAUAUUCACCCUCAUAAUCUCCAAUUGUAAUACUGCGCCCUCACAACUUUCAGCACACAACUACCCUCAUUCUAAUCACUGGAAUACUUCAUACAGAACUGCCAUUCACAAUACGGUGUUUCACACAAACAUAGACU